GGUGGCUUAGUGGUAGAGCGCUUGCCUUUCAUGCAUGAGGCCUUGGGUUUGAUUCCUCAGCACCA
rnacentral:tRNA from 1 species